CUUGAUUCAGCGGCGGACGGGUGAGUAAUGCCUAGGAAUCUGCCUGGUAGUGGGGGACAACGUUUCGAAAGGAACGCUAAUACCGCAUACGUCCUACGGGAGAAAGCAGGGGACCUUCGGGCCUUGCGCUAUCAGAUGAGCCUAGGUCGGAUUAGCUAGUUGGUGAGGUAAUGGCUCACCAAGGCGACGAUCCGUAACUGGUCUGAGAGGAUGAUCAGUCACACUGGAACUGAGACACGGUCCAGACUCCUACGGGAGGCAGCAGUGGGGAAUAUUGGACAAUGGGCGAAAGCCUGAUCCAGCCAUGCCGCGUGUGUGAAGAAGGUCUUCGGAUUGUAAAGCACUUUAAGUUGGGAGGAAGGGCAGUAAGUUAAUACCUUGCUGUUUUGACGUUACCGACAGAAUAAGCACCGGCUAACUCUGUGCCAGCAGCCGCGGUAAUACAGAGGGUGCAAGCGUUAAUCGGAAUUACUGGGCGUAAAGCGCGCGUAGGUGGUUCGUUAAGUUGGAUGUGAAAGCCCCGGGCUCAACCUGGGAACUGCAUCCAAAACUGGCGAGCUAGAGUACGGUAGAGGGUUGGUGGAAUUUCCUGUGUAGCGGUGAAAUGCGUAGAUAUAGGAAGGAACACCAGUGGCGAAGGCGACCACCUGGACUGAUACUGACACUGAGGUGC
rnacentral:rRNA from 1 species